AUUGAACGCUGGCGGCAGGCUUAACACAUGCAAGUCGUGGGGCAGCAGGGGUGUAGCAAUACAUCUGCUGGCGACCGGCAAACGGGUGCGUAACACGUACGCAACCUUCCCGUUACUGUGGCAUAGCCCAGGGAAACUUGGAUUAAUACCACAUAUUAUAUAGAGAGGGUAUCCUUUUUAUAUCAAAGCUUCGGCGGUAACGGAUGGGCGUGCGGUUGAUUAGGUAGUUGGCGGGGUAACGGCCCACCAAGCCUACGAUCAAUAGCUGAUGUGAGAGCAUGAUCAGCCACACGGGCACUGAGACACGGGCCCGACUCCUACGGGAGGCAGCAGUAAGGAAUAUUGGGCAAUGGACGAAAGUCUGACCCAGCCAUGCCGCGUGAAGGAUUAAGGUCCUCUGGAUUGUAAACUUCUUUUCUCCGGGGCGAAAACCAGCUAUUCUUAGCUAUUUGACAGUACCAGAGGAAUAAGCACCGGCUAACUCCGUGCCAGCCGCCGCCGUAACAC
rnacentral:rRNA from 1 species